rnacentral:rRNA from 1 species
CCUACGGGAGGCAGCAGGUGGGGAAUUUUGGACAAUGGGCGCAAGCCUGAUCCAGCAAUGCCGCGUGAGUGAAGAAGGCCUUCGGGUUGUAAAGCUCUUUUGUCAGGGAAGAAACGGGUGGAGCUAAUAUCUUCACCUAAUGACGGUACCUGAAGAAUAAGCACCGGCUAACUACGUGCCAGCAGCCGCGGUAAUACGUAGGGUGCAAGCGUUAAUCGGAAUUACUGGGCGUAAAGCGUGCGCAGGCGGUUUUGUAAGUCUGAUGUGAAAUCCCCGGGCUCAACCUGGGAAUUGCAUUGGAGACUGCAAAGCUGGAGUUUGGCAGAGGGGGGUAGAAUUCCACGUGUAGCAGUGAAAUGCGUAGAUAUGUGGAGGAACACCGAUGGCGAAGGCAGCCCCCUGGGUCAAGACUGACGCUCAUGCACGAAAGCGUGGGGAGCAAACAGGAUUAGAUACCCUGGUAGUCCACGCCCUAAACGAUGUCUACUAGUUGUCGGGUCUUAAUUGACUUGGUAACGCAGCUAACGCGUGAAGUAGACCGCCUGGGGAGUACGGUCGCAAGAUUAAAACGUCAAAGGAAUUGACGG